AGAGUUUGAUCCUGGCUCAGGAUGAACGCUGGCGGCGUGCUUAACACAUGCAAGUCGAACGGGAACUUACGAGAAGAUCUUUUCGGAGUGAAUUUUGUAAGGUCUAGUGGCGGACGGGUGAGUAACGCGUGGGUAACCUGCCCUGUACAGGGGGAUAACAGUUAGAAAUGACUGCUAAUACCGCAUAAGCGCACAGCUUCGCAUGAAGCAGUGCGAAAAGCCGAGACGGUACAGGAUGGGCCCGCGUUGGAUUAGCUGGUUGGCGGGGUAACGGCCCACCAAGGCGACGAUCCAUAGCCGG
rnacentral:rRNA from 1 species